rnacentral:rRNA from 1 species
AGCGAACGCUGGCGGCAGGCCUAACACAUGCAAGUCGAACGAAGUCUUCGGACUUAGUGGCGGACGGGUGAGUAACACGUGGGAACGUGCCUUUAGGUUCGGAAUAACUCAGGGAAACUUGUGCUAAUACCGAAUGUGCCCUUCGGGGGAAAGAUUUAUCGCCUUUAGAGCGGCCCGCGUCUGAUUAGCUAGUUGGUGAGGUAAAGGCUCACCAAGGCUACGAUCAGUAGCUGGUCUGAGAGGAUGACCAGCCACAUUGGGACUGAGACACGGCCCAAACUCCUACGGAGGCAGCAGUGGGGAAUCUUGCGCAAUGGGCGAAAGCCUGACGCAGCCAUGCCGCGUGGAUGAUGAAGGUCUUAGGAUUGUAAAAUCCUUUCACCGGUGAAGAUAAUGACUGUAGCCGGAGAAGAAGCCCCGGCUAACUUCGUGCCAGCCGCCGCUGUAAGAC